AUAGGUACCUGGUGCCGGACAUUCCAACGAUCACGAAGGUUGGAGUCUCGAGUCGAGGCCUUCCAUUGCACUUCGGGAAGGCUUGUACUCGCCUCUGUAACGAAUCGUUACAGCUGGGGUGCACAAUUUUUGGUAGUGGGGGAGGGCGUUCGCGCCUUCACCCU
rnacentral:snRNA from 1 species